rnacentral:rRNA from 1 species
UCCUACGGGAGGCAGCAGUGGGGAAUAUUGCACAAUGGGCGCAAGCCUGAUGCAGCAACGCCGCGUGAGGGACGAAGGCCUUCGGGUUGUAAACCUCUUUUAGUAGGGAAGAAGCGACUGGGUUUUCCUGGGAGUGACGGUACCUGCAGAAAAAGCACCGGCUAACUACGUGCCAGCAGCCGCGGUAAUACGUAGGGUGCAAGCGUUGUCCGGAAUUAUUGGGCGUAAAGAGCUCGUAGGCGGUUUGUCGCGUCUGCUGUGAAAACCCGAGGCUCAACCUCGGGCCUGCAGUGGGUACGGGCAGACUAGAGUGCGGUAGGGGAGAUUGGAAUUCCUGGUGUAGCGGUGGAAUGCGCAGAUAUCAGGAGGAACACCAAUGGCGAAGGCAGAUCUCUGGGCCGUAACUGACGCUGAGGAGCGAAAGCAUGGGGAGCGAACAGGAUUAGAUACCCUGGUAGUCCAUGCCGUAAACGUUGGGAACUAGAUGUGGGGACCAUUCCACGGUCUCCGUGUCGCAGCUAACGCAUUAAGUUCCCCGCCUGGGGAGUACGGCCGCAAGGCUAAAACUCAAAGGAAUUGACGGGGGCCCGCACAAGCGGCGGAGCAUGCGGAUUAAUUCGAUGCAACGCGAAGAACCUUACCAAGGCUUGACAUAUACCGGAAACGGCUGGAAACAGUCGCCCCGCAAGGUCGGUAUACAGGUGGUGCAUGGUUGUCGUCAGCUCGUGUCGUGAGAUGUUGGGUUAAGUCCCGCAACGAGCGCAACCCUCGUCCUAUGUUGCCAGCACGUAAUGGUGGGAACUCAUGGGAUACUGCCGGGGUCAACUCGGAGGAAGGUGGGGAUGACGUCAAAUCAUCAUGCCCCUUAUGUCUUGGGCUUCACGCAUGCUACAAUGGCCGGUACAAAGGGCUGCGAUACCGCAAGGUGGAGCGAAUCCCAAAAAGCCGGUCUCAGUUCGGAUUGAGGUCUGCAACUCGACCUCAUGAAGUCGGAGUCGCUAGUAAUCGCAGAUCAGCAACGCUGCGGUGAAUACGUUCCCGGGCCUUGUACACACCGCCCAUC